GAUUUGGUAGCUCAGUCGGUAGAGCAUAUCCCUUUUAAGGAUAGGGUCCUGGGUUCGAAUCCCAGCCAGAUCACUA
rnacentral:tRNA from 1 species